rnacentral:rRNA from 1 species
UACAGAGGGGGCAAGCGUUGUUCGGAAUUACUGGGCGUAAAGGGCGCGUAGGUGGCCUUCUAAGUUGAACGUGAAAUCCCUGGGCUCAACCCAGGAACUGCGUCCAAGACUGGGAGGCUUGAAUCCGGGAGAGGGAUGCGGAAUUCCAGGUGUAGCGGUGAAAUGCGUAGAUAUCUGGAGGAACACCGGUGGCGAAGGCGGCAUCCUGGACCAAUUCUGACACUGAGGAGCGAAAGCCAGGGGAGCAAACGGG